UUCGACGUGAAGAGAAUUUAUUCCGACUUGCGUUGUAUGUCUGCCAAAGUGCGUGUCAUUGUAGUAGUUUUGGACGCUUUACAAUUACCUUGCCUGACGAAGCCAACAACAACAUGAUUAUUAGCAACACCAGAAGCGGUAUGCUGACAUGAAGCACUCGGGCUUGCGAGGAUGGCAGCCCUGGACACUGCUUCAUAACUAAACUUCAGCGGAUGGCGUCAACCUGACAUGACAACAGCGAACAUGACGAGUGUUCGGGUCACAGCAGAGCCAAGCAGACUUCCAUCCUUGAUACCUUCGGGCACGGCACAUGUGGACAUCGAGGUGGAGCCAAGUAUCCCUGAAAUCAUGCUGCCUUCGGCAAGU